UCUGCUCAGCCGUCUUCCAACACCCGCGAACCGCGUGGUCUUUAUUUGCGCUUCUUUCGUUCACUAUCUUCUUAAUGGAGCUUGCAAUUGAAGAAAUGGAUGCAGGAAUUCUUCAAGAGAUGAGCCACAUAAAAAGAAUAUUUUCCAGUUUACCUGCAGUUCCUUCAUAGUCUCCGAGGCUCAGCGUAUAGUUGUGGUCCUCCAUGCCAAGGGCGAAGUGUUUGUAGACGGCGUAACGCGUCUCAUUGGCCCAAUCUUGAAGGUCGACUCGGAGUUCGUAAUCGCCUGACUGAGUCAGCUGGUGGAUGUAUUCGUUACCUAUGAGAAAGAGAAAUCAAACCAGAUUGCCGAAGCCCCACUUGUACUCGGCCCAGUCCCGGAAGAAAUCGACCACUGGGUGGGGCGUGUCCAUGGUCGUGGAUCCUCGUCUCUGGAUGACGGUCCAGGCAGGUCCACUUCCCCCGUCCUCGAGCUCACACCACACCUGAGGUUAAAACAAAAAAAGAGGAUAUUUAAUCAUUUGUGAGAGCUUUCAUGUGGAAUGAUGCACAGGUGCAUGUGUGCUUGAAUGCAUCGCCAGGCGUUAAUGACGGUGCUCAGCUGGCUGUGCUACUGGGAAGCUGCAAACCAUUCCAUUAUGAACAUCUCUCCUAAAUCCACUCACUAAGUAAACAUUCCUGCGGGAAGGAUCUCCUUCCAUUUGACUGAGAUGAAUAAAAGAACUUUCAACUAACCAGAAAGAAAGAUUCAUUUUACAGCCUGACACACUCAUUUGACGCCACCCUCCUCUUAUUUGUGUUUAUUCUGUAUCUUCUAAUUAUCUUCUUUUCAGUUUGUAAUUUGUCUCAAAUCCCAUAGAGGUAGAUUGGAGAUAACUGUUUUAGAAUUACAUUAUCUAAUCAGUCCUUUAUCGCCGUCCUCCAUGACAGAUUGAGCUUCUUGUUACCAGCUAUUUCUGCUAGUCUCUUAUUUUCAUUUAAACGAAAAAUAAACCGUAUUAUCCGACGGUUCAAAGGUCCUUUGAGUUUGUGACCACAGAACCCACAUGGGUCAUUCGACUGACCAUGAUGUUGUUUUUGACGAUUUUUGGCGAUAUUUAAGUAGAAUGGAUUUUAUCAUAAAUCCAUAACUGGUACUUUUUUAAGUCAGUAUUAGACCAGAAAAUAUACUUUCUUAUUUCAGUGUGGCUAACUGCAAUACAUUGUGCUUCAGGCUCUUAUUAUUAUCACGACUGCAUUUUAGUGUGACAGUUCAACAAUAAUUAAAAAAGAUUCUUUCGGAAUUUUAAUGAGACGUCUCAAUAACAGAAUCAGUCGUAUCACUCAUAGUAACAGAACCAGUAACUAUUCCAUCAGACCUACUACUAUAUCCUCACGACUUUCACUCACAACAGCAAGUUCCGCUGGGAGAAAUUUCAUAAGGACAAAUACUGACUGCAAAUGGAACUCUCAUCAACCAAAGUUACGAAACGACGAUGGAACAGACAUGACGAAGUCCUCAUCAACAGGGAUUUAAUGAUGCAUGAUGGUCGUUUAAACUCGGUCCCAGAACCACAAGUAGAUUUUCGUCAGUGCCAGAACCACAAGUAUAUCUUCGUCAGUGCCAGAACCACAAGUAUAUCUUCGUCAGUGUCGGGACAGAUCGACAAAUCAAAGCUACUAACCGAAUUGACGAUAAGAUUUGUGUGUGCCGAGUUACAUCGACUUGAAAGUAGUUCUGUUUUAUUUUUGUAAUUUCCUUUUAUAUUACGUACUAAAGAAAUAUCAGGGCUUUCCUUUUUUUACUUGUUUGAAUUUCGGAUUAAAUCAUUAUCGGCUGCUAAAACUUGUAUAAUUGCAUGUAAUAUGUUAACUUCCGCAUAGCUAUUUCCGGUAAUUAUUUCCAACCUGAAGUUUCCGUACUAGCCGACUUGGAAUAAGCAAAAGAAUGUACGUAGAAAAAAACACAAAUGAGAGACCAAUAGACAAACUGUAUCAGGCGUCGUCCCCGAAAUAAAACCUUUAGAAGAUGAAAUAAAAAUUAGCAUGAAAUAACAUUUUCUUUUAGUGAUUAUGACCAAUAAUCGUACCCUUAGUCCUGCCUCAUUUUUUCCCCUUUUUUGUUUAAUUUUUUUGGCAAUGAAAGUCACUGGCUGUACAUUAACACCAACCGCGAUGUUAAUAAAACUCAAGAGUAACUUAAUCCUCGAGAAUAUUUUACGACUAUGCUACGAAAAAUGAGGCGCCUUUAACAAUAUUUAAACCAAUACAGAAUUUGCGGGGGAGAGAGAGGGAGAGAGAAAGAAAACGCCCAAAUACCAUUGCAGCAGACACAAAAGUGCAGUAAAUCUUCCUUAACGCGAAGGCAAACGCUUUCAAGCAAUAUAAAAUGGCUUUUGUAAACAUACACUAAAACUUCUGCCAAGAGCAAUUGCCUAUUGUUAUGCCAAAGCCAAUGUGUUUAAUGGCUGCCCUCGGACACGUGCAAAAAUUCUAUGUUGUGGGACAAGCACACAAACACACAUACACACACAAACACACGCAGCACAUUAGCAAGAUUAAGUGACCAUGUUAGUUGUUAGAGACAAUA